rnacentral:other from 12 species
CCAACAGUAUGACUUUGGAAGCCAGAUUGAGAGUGUGGUGAGCAAGCUUAGCCUGAACUAAGAAGCCAAAAACACUCCUGAGGAAUCCACCUUUUAUUUUAGG